rnacentral:rRNA from 1 species
GACGAACGCUGGCGGCGUGCUUAACACAUGCAAGUCGAACGGAAAGGCCCUGCUUUUGUGGGGUGCUCGAGUGGCGAACGGGUGAGUAACACGUGAGUAACCUGCCCUUGACUUUGGGAUAACUUCAGGAAACUGGGGCUAAUACCGGAUAGGAGCUCCUGCUGCAUGGUGGGGGUUGGAAAGUUUCGGCGGUUGGGGAUGGACUCGCGGCUUAUCAGCUUGUUGGUGGGGUAGUGGCUUACCAAGGCUUUGACGGGUAGCCGGCCUGAGAGGGUGACCGGCCACAUGGGGACUGGUGCCCGCCCCCGCCCCCUACGGGAGGCGGCGGUGGGGAAUUUUGCCCAAGGGGCGGAAGCCUGAUGCAGCACCGCCGCGGGCGGGAUGACGGCCUUCGGGUUGUAAACCGCUUUCGCCUGUGACGAAGCGUGAGUGACGGUAAUGGGUAAAGAAGCCCCGGCUACCUCCG